rnacentral:rRNA from 1 species
UAGGGAAUCUUCGGCAAUGGGGGGAACCCUGACCGAGCAACGCCGCGUGAGUGAAGAAGGUUUUCGGAUCGUAAAGCUCUGUUGUUAAGGAAGAACGAGUGUGAGAAUGGAAAGUUCAUGCUGUGACGGUACUUAACCAGAAAGGGACGGCUAACUACGUGCCAGCAUCCGCGGUAAUACGUAGGUCCCGAGCGUUGUCCGGAUUUAUUGGGCGUAAAGCGAGCGCAGGCGGUUAGAAAAGUCUGAAGUGAAAGGCAGUGGCUCAACCAUUGUAGGCUUUGGUAACUGUUUAACUUGAGUGCAGAAGUGGAGAGUGGAAUUCCAUGUGUAGCGGUGAAAUGCGUAGAAAUAUGGAGGAACACCGGUGGCGAAAGCGGCUCUCUGGUCUGUAACUGACGCUGAGGCUCGAAAGCGUGGGGAGCGAACAGG